rnacentral:rRNA from 1 species
ACUGAAAAUCUUCGGAGUUGUAGUCUGGAGAAGUCAGGCCUAGUGAGCGCGCCGGGCAAAGUCUCCUGGAAAGGAGCGCCGAGGAGGGUGAAAGCCCCGUUCAUGCCCGGUGGCCGCGAUCGUCCGGCCGGCUUUCAACGAGUCGAGUUGUUUGGGAUUGCAGCUCUAAGCGGGUGGUAAAUUCCAUCUAAAGCUAAAUAUCGGUGGGAGACCGAUAGCGAACAAGUACCGUGAGGGAAAGAUGAAAAGAACUUUGAAAAGAGAGUUAAACAGUACCUGAAAUUGCUGAAAUGGAACCGAUGGGAGUCAGUGUAUUGGCCGGCGCGGGCAUUCAUGUCCGCGUGGCUGGUCAGGCUUCCUUGGGCGCGCAGGAGAGGCCUCCGGUAAAUUCAUCCGUCCUUCACGGGAGGGCCGGGGUGGGCUGCUGUGCGUGAUUCGCCGAGGGACUCUGGCAAAAUGGCUCUUAUCAACCCGUCUUGAAACACGGACCAAGGAGUCUAACAUGUGUGCGAGUGCUCGGGGUUUGACCCCCCAGCGCGUAAUGAAAGUAAAGGCGGGCCUCGUUGCCCGCUGAGGUAGGACGUCCUCCGCGGCGGCACUAUCGACCGACCAUGAUCCUCCGGGUGAAAGGUUUGAGUGUGAGCAUACAUGUUGGGACCCGAAAGAUGGUGAACUAUGCCUGAGUAGGACGAAGCCAGGGGAAACUCUGGUGGAGGUCCGUAGCGGUUCU